rnacentral:rRNA from 1 species
UGGGGAAUAUUGGACAAUGGGCGCAAGCCUGAUCCAGCCAUGCCGCGUGUGUGAAGAAGGCCUCUUGGUUGUAAAGCACUUUAAGCGAGGAGGAGGCUACUUGGAUUAAUACUCUAGGAUAGUGGACGUUACUCGCAGAAUAAGCACCGGCUAACUCUGUGCCAGCAGCCGCGGUAAUACAGAGGGUGCGAGCGUUAAUCGGAUUUACUGGGCGUAAAGCGUGCGUAGGCGGCUUUUUAAGUCGGAUGUGAAAUCCCUGAGCUUAACUUAGGAAUUGCAUUCGAUACUGAGAAGCUAGAGUAUGGGAGAGGAUGGUAGAAUUCCAGGUGUAGCGGUGAAAUGAGUAGAGAUCUGGAGGAAUACCGAUGGCGAAGGCAGCCAUCUGGCCUAAUACUGACGCUGAGGUACGAAAGCAUGGGGAGCAAACAGG